rnacentral:sRNA from 1 species
UAGUGAUAUACCUUUACUGAUUUUAGGCAUUAUUUAGGCAUUUGUUUUUGAGUAUUUUUGUUAUUUCUAGAGUCGUUUCUAUUCCUUUUCAUGUUUUUACACGUUUUAGAUGCAUUUGGAGAUUAUGGACACCAAUAUCUGACGGCAAUUCGAUUUCGAGUCUCUUUGAAGUUUUAAAGAUUUGCAUAUUCGCCCCAGAACUUUGGGAUGCAUUUGGAGAUUAUGGAGAAUUCUAGAAGAAAACAUAGAACUUAUGCUGUAGAAGAAAUCCGGAGACCAAAAUUCGCAUAGGUGUCGAUCGACACCACCCCUAGUGUUGCUCGACACCAAUAUCUGACGGCAAUUAAAUUUCGAGUCUCUUCGAAGUUUUGAAGAUUUGUAGAUUCGCCCCAGAACUUCUCCCUAUUUUCAAAGAAGUCCAUGCACGUUUAUAGAACUUAUAUAUAGAUUUUUAAGGUCAUUUUUAGACCUAAGCUUGGAGAGGUUAAUCUCCUUUUCUCUGUUGUUCUUGGGAGAAAAACCUUGUGGAAACUCCGGUUAGAGAAGAUCUUUCUAAACGCUAUUCUCUUGUUAUUUUCUUUU